CGGACGGGUGAGUAACGCGUAAGAACCUAUCCUUAGGAGGGGGACAACAGCUGGAAACGGUUGCUAAUACCCCAUAUGCUGAGGAGCAAAAGGAGGAAUCCGCCCAAGGAGGGUCUUGCGUCUGAUUAGCUAGUUGGUGAGGUAAUGGCUCACCAAGGCAACGAUCAGUAGCUGGUCUGAGAGGAUGAUCAGCCACACUGGGACUGAGACACGGCCCAG
rnacentral:rRNA from 1 species